AAGGAGCACCACGAGAAACACUCCAAUUGGUGGGGUGUAAGCCGUGAGGGGUUCUCGUCUGUAGUGGACGGAAGCCGGGUGCACAACAACAAGCAAGCCAGACACACUAUUGGGUCCUGAGGCAACAUCUCUGUUGGUUUCGGGAUGUUGUCCCACCAUCUUGGUGGUGGGGUGUGGUGUUUGAGAAUUGGAUAGUGGUUGCGAGCAUCAAUUGGAUGCGCUGCCUUUUGGUGGCGUGUUCUGUUGUGCAAUUUUAUUCUUUGGUUUUUGUGU
rnacentral:rRNA from 1 species